rnacentral:rRNA from 1 species
CAGCAGCCACGGGAAUACGAAGGGGGCUAGCGUUGCUCGGAAUGACUGGGCGUAAAGGGCGCGUAGGCGGCGGCCAAAGUCAGGCGUGAAAUUCCCGGGCUCAACCUGGGGGCUGCGUUUGAUACUUGGUUGCUUGAGUGGGGAAGAGGGUCGUGGAAUUCCCAGUGUAGAGGUGAAAUUCGUAGAUAUUGGGAAGAACACCGGUGGCGAAGGCGGCUCACUGGACCGACACUGACGCUGAGGCGCGAAAGCGUGGGGAGCAAACAGGAUUAGAUACCCCGGUAGUCCCUGUCUCUUAUAA